rnacentral:rRNA from 1 species
UUGAACGCUGGCGGCAUGCCUUACACCUGCAAGUCGAACGGUAACGGGUCCUUCGGGAUGCCGACGAGUGGCGAACGGGUGAGUAAUAUAUCGGAACGUGCCCAGUAGUGGGGGAUAACUGCUCGAAAGAGCAGCUAAUACCGCAUACGACCUGAGGGUGAAAGGGGGGGAUCGCAAGACCUCUCGCUAUUGGAGCGGCCGAUAUCAGAUUAGCUAGUUGGUGGGGUAAAGGCCUACCAAGGCAACGAUCUGUAGUUGGUCUGAGAGGACGACCAGCCACACUGGGACUGAGACACGGCCCAGACUCCUACGGGAGGCAGCAGUGGGGAAUUUUGGACAAUGGGCGCAAGCCUGAUCCAGCAAUGCCGCGUGCAGGAAGAAGGCCUUCGGGUUGUAAACUGCUUUUGUCAGGGAAGAAAUCUUCUGGGCUAAUACCCCGGGAGGAUGACGGUACCUGAAGAAUAAGCACCGGCUAACUACGUG